GCAUGGCUGAAUUCUGCUCCAGCUGCGCUCUGUGCUGGACACAGUCAGACACCAUGCAACAGCCUCUUCUCAUUUCUGCCAAAGACAAAAAU
ensembl:snoRNA